UGCCACGAAUGCUAAUAGUUCAUACACCAAUUUCUGAAAAUGGUCUAAGGUGUACAUGGAAGGUAUGAAGCAUGUAUAUAUAACUUCCUUUAUGCAGAUUGCGCCUCACUCUUGCAUAUCUUAUGCGCCAAAGUCCUAUGUAGGCAUAGCAAGUUGAAUCUCUACAGGUAAUAUACUGCUUGCAGUUUGCAGGGUUAAUUCAAAAUACAGCCAGUUUUAG
rnacentral:misc_RNA from 1 species